GUGGGGAAUAUUGGACAAUGGGCGAAAGCCUGAUCCAGCCAUGCCGCGUGUGUGAAGAAGGUCUUCGGAUUGUAAAGCACUUUAAGUUGGGAGGAAGGGCAGUAAGUUAAUACCUUGCUGUUUUGACGUUACCGACAGAAUAAGCACCGGCUAACUUCGUGCCAGCAGCCGCGGUAAUACGAAGGGUGCAAGCGUUAAUCGGAAUUACUGGGCGUAAAGCGCGCGUAGGUGGUUUUGUAAGUUGGAGGUGAAAUCACCGGGCUCAACCUGGGAACUGCCUCCAAAACUGCAUGACUAGAGUACGGUAGAGGGUAGUGGAAUUUCCUGUGUAGCGGUGAAAUGCGUAGAUAUAGGAAGGAACACCAGUGGCGAAGGCGACUACCUGGACUGAUACUGACACUGAGGUGCGAAAGCGUGGGGAGCAAACAGGAUUAGAUACCCGGGUAGUCC
rnacentral:rRNA from 1 species